UGGAAUGUGGCUGAGUGGUAGAGUGCUUGCCUAGCAUGCAUGAGGCCCAGGGUUCAAUUCUUUGGUACCAG
rnacentral:tRNA from 1 species